GGAUUGCAGUCUGCAACUCGAGUGCAUGAAGCUGGAAUCGCUAGUAAUCGCGGAUCAGAAUGCCGCGGUGAAUACCGUUCCCGGGCCUUGUACACACCGCCCGUCACACCAUGAGAGUCGAUAACACCCGAAGCCUGUAGUCUAACCGUUAGGGGGGACGCGGCCGAAGGUGGGUUCGAUAAUUGGGGUGAAGUCGUAACAAGGUAAC
rnacentral:rRNA from 1 species